GCUGACAGGUAGAGAGCUGUCACGACGAGAAAAAUAGCACACUAAUGUACAGGAGGAAAUUCGCAACCAUGGAGAGUAUAUGUGGAUUGCAUACAGAAGUCCAAAAGCAUAACAGCUACAAUUCAUCAAUAGCGAAUGACAGUCUAUGAAUCAAUCCGUACAUGUCCUAAUCUCCUUUAUCAUGUUUCUAUGAUUACCACUCCAGAAAUACAGCAGUGUGAUGGUGACCAAGUCUUUGUCGACAGCAUAGUAUCUCUCUCUCUCCAUCGUUAUUUUUGUAAUAUCCAAUGGAGUAAAACUAUGAAGUGUAAAAGCUUUGCAAAGGUUACCUGGUAGGGAACUCAUUAAGAUUUUACCGUAUUUCUCUUUCAUCCGAUAUAGUGGGGAAACAAAUACCAUCUGCAUGUUGACAUAGACUCAUAGACCAUAUGUGAUGAUACCAUUAAAUAUACAUGUUGUCAGUCCACUAGUGCAGGCGACCAGUGAUCAAACUUGCUUUCAUGAACCUGUGUAAAGUUUGGUCGCCUGUACUGGAGAAAGACUGUAUCGAUUAUAUCACAAAGAGAGAGUUCGUGUGUUGUUGUUUCAUAAGCAGUUUGAUACAUUCUUUUCCUGCUGUAACACAACCAAGCAGUGUGUGACAACAUCUUUGUACUCCGCCAAACAUUUUCCAACACGACUUUGAGGUCUGUGUCAGAUGCUAAACCAACAAUAACACGCUUCAUCCAUUGGCUCUCACAGAAAGCUGGACAUCACAUGGUGUAAACUAUACUGCUUUCACUGCACAUAGAAUAAUUUAAAUUAGAGACACGGGCUGUGUUUCUUACUGAAAAAAAUGUGGAAGACAUUGCAACAUAUGGAAACUGGAGCGUUUCCAAACUGCUGUCUGAAGGUGAUGACCCCUACAUUUAAUCAAAUUUUCCACAGUGAUAGCAUAGCAGAUGUCUCAAUGUUCCGUUUCAAAGAGACCAAGACCAUUCCUUAUAUUGCAGUCAUGUACACGAUCACUGUUUCGAUGGAACGUGUUGCUAACACCAAGACUCACUCCAUCUCAAGUAUGUGAUAUCAGUGAAUCAUUAUGCUGUAAUCAACAGUGCACUACUGCACGGAUAGGAUGGAAAAGACACCGUCAAUGUACUGUAAUAAGCACCACAGUUGAUAGUUCGAUCAAUUUUAGCAAAAUUACCAGCUCUUCUGUAAUUUCAGUGCCAGCCAGUGGUGGUGGAUGGAAUUGGAAGCAUUUUACAUAAAUCAACUGUACUAUCAGCUAUGUAGUAUUGUUCUCAUGUCUGGGAUCAGUACCAAGAAGGUAUUAGCAAGAGAGAAAUGAUCGUAAAACAUAACGCACACACACACUCGUAAUGAUGGACGGCUCUGCGCUUAAACAUGUUAUAACUAUGUGAUGUGCAACGCCCUUAAUACUCUAAUGCAGGAAUGGAUGUCCAACAUCUGACAUACAUCCACGCUGCAAAUUUUCUAUCCCACUCACCAUGGUGACAAACUUUAAGAUGAUAAAACUACUUCCUUCUGCAGCAAAGAAAACCAUAGACUCUUUGUUAUGCAUGUACAAUAUACUUUUCAUUGGUGUAUAAUACCCAGUGCUCAAAUCCGAUUACACUUCAGAAAUUAUGCUAUGCUCACAUCAUUCCUAUGAGAUGAUCGCCAGCAAUGGAAAAUUCAUCUUAUGAGGAAACAGACAAAUGCAUAGCACUGGUGUUUGACAUGUGAAAUUGCACUCCGUGCUGGAAUAACUCUUUAUACAGGACAACUAUCAAGAAAAUGCACACACACACACACACACACACACACACACACACACACAGGGUUUGCAGUAACUCACAAAUCCCAGUCUGCGAUUUAGAAAAAAAGCUAAAACAUUUUACAUACAUCACUUGUGCUAACAAAUCUGAAUUAUUGUUCAGAUAUUUGUUGUCUACGCCAAGGAGAUAUCGGAAAGAGAGAAAUGAUUGUGGAACAUAAAUGCAUUCCAAGGGCUACAUGAUUCUCCCCUUAAACAUACCAUAAUGCUAGAGCUGUCCAGUUUCCAACCAAUCAUUAGUCAUGUAGAAUGCGACGUCGUUAAUAUUCCAAUGUAAGAAAUAUAUUUCCAGCGCAUGACAUACAUUCUACACGCAAGUUUUUCUACGAUAAAGUACGGUGACAGACUGUAAGGUGAUAAAACAUCUAACUUGAAUACCAAAGAAAACACUGGAUUCUUUGUUACACAAACACUACAUAGGUUUCUGAAGUUGUAUGAUGCCUACUGUUUAGGGAGUUCAAGCUCAAUUACGGUUCGGAAAUUAUGAUAUGUUCACAACCACCAUAUAAAAUGACUGUUGAUAGCCGAAAAUGCAUACAAAGAAACAGUGAGAUCUUACGAGGAAAUAAAUAUCAUGCAGUUUACCACCGUUCCUGCUAGCCUCCCUCUUGCACAUAGAAGUCAUGGUCCGAUGUGAGGCUGUAUUGCUCAUGUGUGAGACAAUAUUGUUGUCUCUAGAAUUCCUUCUCUUUCCACUAUUAAGGUAUUUAGGCCUAUAUGCAGCAUCAGUUCACUCUCCUCCUCCAAAACAUGUAAUAUUAUCGAUUUCACUCAAUAUUACUGGUAAUUUUUUUCUAAUUUGAAGUAUGCCCACUCAACUUCCGUAAUUUUACGAGGUUUUCACUAUUUUACAUACUUCAUCGUAUUUCCCUCAAUGUUCAUGUAUUUACUUCAGUUUUACGUGAUAAUACCAGGUGUUCCCUCAAUUUUACCAAUUUUAUGUCAUUUUUCAUAUUUUCUUGACACCUUGCCAUUUGUAUACGCUCUUAUUGCUAACAUACCCACAUGUUCAUUGAUUUUCUAUGAAAAUAUUUGAGCGUCUUAUAUGCCAACCUACUAAACAGUCCUAAGAUUUCCCCUCUCCUUGAAGAUGCACAUGCAUGCAUUUUGGACAGGAUGAUCAUGAAAAGUAUAAUAACAGUCACUUCAUACCUAUAAAAGAUUCAAUGAGUGGUGCAGAUGGUGGAUGUAUUAGAAAAUCAAAGUCUGGAAACAAUUGUGUGUACUGCUAUGACACAUCAGAGAGCCUGUCUGCAGACUCAUGUAGUGCUGCACUUGACAGAGUCUUAAGUCUGGACACAGUUCUACAUGUUCAUUUGACUACCACCCUAUCAUGUAGGGGUCUCCAACAAGGAUUUGGCAUGUGUACAGAGUUGAUUUCUAUUGCUGCUCGGAUUUUUUUUUCCGUAAGUAUUUGCUCUUAGUGCUUACUAGAUGUGCUUCGAUAUUUCUGUUUGUACUGCAGCGGCAACACUGCUUAGGAUAGGGAAAGUUAGUUUUGUGCGAUAUUUGGACCACGAGUUACAGGCAGGUGCUAGCCAGAUUGCAGUAAGUUACGCAUACCAGCAGUUGCGAAGGCAAAUAGAGGCCACAGGGGCCUAGAACUGCCGGAGAGGGCGCACACAGCAAUUUCCAUGGCGCAAGUCACAAGCAGAAGAGGGCCACUGGCCAACCUAAGUGUUAUGCAUACGUGAUGCAAAGCGGCCCUCUUGGUAAAGCAUUGGCGCACAGCCAAGUAUAAAUAAGUGCCAUUUUCUAACGAGAUUCAUUCAAGUGUGGCAGCUCUCCUGUACGGCGGGGCGUAUCUCACCACCGGGCUACAUACAGCAACAGAUGGGGCGCCAGCGUCCCAGUCCACGCCGGGUCGUUGGUUCGACUCUCUGAGACCGACGCAGGGUCCGCAGCAAGCCAGGCGGGCCACCCUUCAGCUCACUACUGCGGGCAGUCGUCUCGGCUCCCGACACACGCUGGACACUUCCCGAGGCAAGGGCAGCAGAUUCGGACGCCAGAUCGCGGGUGGUAAUUGCCGCCGCGUUCUCAGCUACGCCAGCGAGGAAGAAGCAGCAGCGGGGCCGGCCUACAGCUCCCGGCGGAGCAGCGCUGAAUCAAUGGGGAAGAAGACUGCUGAGCCGGCUGUCGGCACCUCCUGGCAAUCAGCCAUUACAUUUAGUGUCAUAAUAGCGGACGUCGUCUGUCCAGUAUGACGUUCGAGCCCACCACCUGCAUUAUGGUCACAAGAUGUGUUUCGUUUCCUACAUAAAAUUCUGAGUUCAAGUGAACAACAGCAUGCUCAGCCUCCUCAGCCUGCAACAACAAGAAUUCAACAAGAAAUUGAUGAGGCAGUACAGAGGGAGAGAGAACUGAAAGAAGCAAAUGGAAUUCAGACAUCUGAUGAAAAUAUUGUACAUAAGAGAUCUCAAACACCUGAUGCUGUCAACAGUUCCACAGAAGAGAGAGAGAGAGUGAUCCAAAUAGUUUCUCCUCUUCGAACAAUCUUUCAGAUUCACUAAAUGAUGGAGAACCCUCAGCACAAGCUGUUCCAACAAAGAGAUCUCAGUCAUCAAGUCCAUCACUUAAUAAUUCUCCAUUUGCAAGCCCAACACACAGGUUCUCAUCUGGUGGUUGACAGAAAGGAUUGAUGCAGAGGUUUUAUGCAUCACAUGGAAGGAUGAGAAUUUAUGCUGCUCCAAGGAAUACUGUACCUGUUGUUGUUUCUCCUCCUUCUGUUUCACCUGUACAUAACCAGCCUCCAAUUCAAAGGAAGAUCAUUGACAUCAAUAGUGGGAAUGAUUCACAGGAUUCAGAUGAAGACCUGGUAAAGACUCCAGUGAGAAAGGGCUACCAAUCAGCUGAAGAGAAGAUACAAGCAGAGUUACAAGAGAUGCAAAAACGUGAAGAAGAAUUGAGGUUGCUGAGAGCAAAACUAUUUGCUCAGUCACAGCCAAAUCUUUUGAGCAUUGGUAGUAUUGAGGAAGAAGAAAUUAAUCAUAUCAAUGGUAAUGGAGGGAAACAGACUUUGCAGAGUGCACAGUCUAUUCAAAACCUCUUAGAUUCUGAUGAUUCAUUGGAUGUUUCACAGGAUCCGGCUUCACAAAAGUUUCAGAAAAAUUCCCCAAGAAAAAGAAGUGCACUGAUUGCUGAGUGGGAGAGCAGGAUCCAAAAAAAUUCAGAGCAUUGAUCAUGACCUCUGAACCACCACCAAUGAAAAUGUCACAUUCCAGAAUGUGUGUAGAUACAACCAAGAAACAAUACUGCCUUUGCAAUUUUACUAGACUGCUGUGUUCCCAGUAUUGUGAAGAAAUUUGUUUUUCUUAUGUAGAGUUUCUUAAUAUUAUUGUGCAAUUAUUGUUGAAGAUUUCUGACAGGACCAGAAAUAAUAAGUAUUAUUAGGGAGGUAAUACACAAUACAUUCCAGCCACAUAGGAAACAAUGUCUAAGAUAUUUUCUUAAUGGGUUUCUUUGUAAUUUUAUAAGAACUGUCAUUUUACUCUGUGUGAUGAAUUGGUUUGAAGCUGAAUAUUCUGUUAAAAUCCUUAAACUUAAUUUCAAUGCACAAAUACUCAUACCAUAUGUUCUUAUUUGGCUACUGGGAUUUCAUAAUGGCUUCCAGUCACUUUUGGUUACCAUUGGCAUGAUGCAGAAGUUGAAGUAAAAAUUUCAAUGGUAUGAGCAGUGUUGUAUCAUUCUGUGUUGAAAGCAAUCAAAACAAUUUGAUUUUCCUUGUAUUGUGUCUUGCCUAUAUGCUAAAUUUGAUGAUUGCAUUUGAUGGAAAUUCAAAUGAAAAUCUAAAGUGAUGAGUGUUAAUAAAUGUUCCAUUUAGUGUGUUCUUUUCUUGAACUUCAGUGUAACACACUCCUGAAGAAAUAUUUUCCCUUUAUUGUUCUACACACAAGGAGCUUUUGUCCUUCCUUCUCAUUAAUUUGAAUGUGCUUAAAAAUUAGAAUAUUGCUGUGUGUCAUAUGUAAUUGCAAUAGAUUAAGGGUAUACUCCUUCAUAGUAUUCCAUGACUAGAAAUGUUUUGUUGAUUAAAUUGAUGGCUGAUGAAUUAACAAAAUGUAUUUGCCAUCCUUUUGUUGUGCUGGUUGGAAGCAUCACUCGAUUGCAAAUUUAGUCUGCUAAUUUCUUAAAGAAAUACAUGAAAAUGAAACAAACUGUAGAUAAAUAGUUAUACAACAGUAAUAAUGCAAGAAUUACAGUAAAAUUAAGAGAAACUAAUAUAUAGUAUUUUGAGACACUUAUAAUAUGGUUAUUCAAACAUGACCAAAAUGUAAUAUUGCUGGGAGUGUAACUGUCCUAUCUGGAUGAUGCUUAUGCAAGAUUCAGUGUAAAGAUUGAACGUAGUUAGAACUCUGCAACUGUUAAUCAAAGUAAUGUCUGUAGAAAAGCAUGUUUGUGAAAAAGGAAACUAAGCUUCAGCAGUUUCAGAAGAGAAUUGGCGUAAGUAUCACUAGUCUGGGUGUAUGUAGAGAGGAGACUAAGAAAACAGUUGUUUGAAUUCAUUUUCCUGUUUCUUCUUUCAAGUUAUGAAGUAAUUUUGGAAUACAUAACAAAAAAUUGAUAUACGAGAAGCUGUUAAAUAUAAGUAUUAAAACUAUUGAACAAAUAGGCAUUAUAGUUAACAACAUUUUAUUGUGUAAGAGUUGUUUGUAUGUGUAAUAUGACUGUUCUGUUACAUAUUGAUGAAAUUUCCACAUCACUCGUUAUUUUCAUUGUUGAAAUUGCAGGUAAUAUCUGUUAUAUAUAAGUGUGUGUGUGUGUGUGUGUGUGUGUGUGUGUGUGUGUGUGUGUGUGUGUGUGUGUGUGUGUGUGUG